GCCCCAGUAACUCAGCCCGGAUAGAGUAGCACCCUCCUAAGGUGAAAGUCAGAGGUUCAAAUCCUCCCUGGGGCGCCA
rnacentral:tRNA from 1 species